rnacentral:sRNA from 1 species
UUGACUCUUAAAUGAGAAUCGUUAUGAUUAUCACAACUGGUCGCGAGAUCAGCCGAUAACUGAAAGACCAUUGGUUCGGACUCUCAGAUUAUCUCCUCAUCAGGCUAAUCACGGUUAUUUGACCCGGCUUUUGCCGGGUCUUUUUUUG